UUUUAUUAGUUUUUCCAAAAUACAAGUAAAAGAAAUUAAAACAAAAUCAUGACCAAAAAAGUAAAUAAGAUAACAAUGUUUUUGUCAAGGGUAGAACAAAGGAGUAGAAGGCAAGAGCUAUAAUCAGCAUUCCGUGCCGUUGUCAAGUGACCAGGAAAGAAUGGACCAGGGAAAUAUACUGCUAUCUAUAUGAGGUGAAGAACGACCCAGCAUGUCAUUAACUACUAACAGUAGGGAGAAGUAUGAAAAGAUUACAUUGAUACAGGGUAGCUAUUGCCGUCUGGAGAGCCUGGACCGGGUAACGUCCCUUGAGGAACCCCACCUGGUGAGCGGUGCGUCUAAGACCUCCCUGUCCUGCACUGAAAGUUUGGAUAAGUGGGCAUUACGUAAGAAAGAGAGGCCUUCUUCUGGAUGAUCCUGAUUCUCUUCGUAAAAGCGCUUAAAAUAUGUCUCAAGUUCAGCUACAAUGGCUUCAGUGUCCCGAGCCCAACCCUCCUCCGUUUUUAAUUUCUUAAUGAAGUGUUGCGCCGUAUGGGGUUUGGUUAUUCUGGCAAGGAGUCUCCCCGAUUUAUUCCCCCACCUGUAAAACUUAUUUUUCAUAUGAGAAAUUUUGUACUGGGCGCUGUCAUGUAAUAAAGUAUUAAACAAA